GAUGAACGCUGGCGGCGUGCCUAAUACAUGCAAGUCGAGCGAACGGACGAGAAGCUUGCUUCUCUGAUGUUAGCGGCGGACGGGUGAGUAACACGUGGAUAACCUACCUAUAAGACUGGGAUAACUUCGGGAAACCGGAGCUAAUACCGGAUAAUAUUUUGAACCGCAUGGUUCAAAAGUGAAAGACGGUCUUGCUGUCACUUAUAGAUGGAUCCGCGCUGCAUUAGCUAGUUGGUAAGGUAACGGCUUACCAAGGCAACGAUGCAUAGCCGACCUGAGAGGGUGAUCGGCCACACUGGAACUGAGACACGGUCCAGACUCCUACGGGAGGCAGCAGUAGGGAAUCUUCCGCAAUGGGCGAAAGCCUGACGGAGCAACGCCGCGUGAGUGAUGAAGGUCUUCGGAUCGUAAAACUCUGUUAUUAGGGAAGAACAUAUGUGUAAGUAACUGUGCACAUCUUGACGGUACCUAAUCAGAAAGCCACGGCUAACUACGUGCCAGCAGCCGCGGUAAUACGUAGGUGGCAAGCGUUAUCCGGAAUUAUUGGGCGUAAAGCGCGCGUAGGCGGUUUUUUAAGUCUGAUGUGAAAGCCCACGGCUCAACCGUGGAGGGUCAUUGGAAAACUGGAAAACUUGAGUGCAGAAGAGGGAAAGUGGAAUUCCAUGUGUAGCGGUGAAAUGCGCAGAGAUAUGGAGGAACACCAGUGGCGAAGGCGACUUUCUGGUCUGUAACUGACGCUGAUGUGCGAAAGCGUGGGGAUCAAACAGGAUUAGAUACCCUGGUAGUCCACGCCGUAAACGAUGAGUGCUAAGUGUUAGGGGGUUUCCGCCCCUUAGUGCUGCAGCUAACGCAUUAAGCACUCCGCCUGGGGAGUACGACCGCAAGGCUGGAACUCAAAGGAAUUGACGGGGACCCGCACAAGCGGUGGAGCAUGUGGUUUAAUUCGAAGCAACGCGAAGAACCUUACCAAAUCUUGACAUCCUUUGACAGCUCUAGAGAUAGAGCCUUCCCCUUCGGGGGGCAAAGUGACAGGUGGUGCAUGGUUGUCGUCAGCUCGUGUCGUGAGAUGUUGGGUUAAGUCCCGCAACGAGCGCAACCCUUAAGCUUAGUUGCCAUCAUUAAGUUGGGCACUCUAAGUUGACUGCCGGUGACAAACCGGAGGAAGGUGGGGAUGACGUCAAAUCAUCAUGCCCCUUAUGAUUUGGGCUACACACGUGCUACAAUGGACAAUACAAAGGGCAGCGAAACCGCGAGGUCAAGCAAAUCCCAUAAAGUUGUUCUCAGUUCGGAUUGUAGUCUGCAACUCGACUACAUGGAGCUGGAAUCGCUAGUAAUCGUAGAUCAGCAUGCUACGGUGAAUACGUUCCCGGGUCU
rnacentral:rRNA from 1 species